rnacentral:rRNA from 1 species
GGAAGGAUCAUUAAAGAGUAAGGGUGCUCAGCGCCCGACCUCCAACCCUUUGUUGUUAAAACUACCUUGUUGCUUUGGCGGGACCGCUCGGUCUCGAGCCGCUGGGGAUUCGUCCCAGGCGAGCGCCCGCCAGAGUUAAACCAAACUCUUGUUAUUUAACCGGUCGUCUGAGUUAAAAUUUUGAAUAAAUCAAAACUUUCAACAACGGAUCUCUUGGUUCUCGCAUCGAUGAAGAACGCAGCGAAAUGCGAUAAGUAAUGUGAAUUGCAGAAUUCAGUGAAUCAUCGAAUCUUUGAACGCACAUUGCGCCCCUUGGUAUUCCGAGGGGCAUGCCUGUUCGAGCGUCAUUACACCACUCAAGCUAUGCUUGGUAUUGGGUGCCGUCCUUAGUUGGGCGCGCCUUAAAGACCUCGGCGAGGCCUCACCGGCUUUAGGCGUAGUAGAAUUUAUUCGAACGUCUGUCAAAGGAGAGGACUUCUGCCGACUGAAACCUUUAUUUUUCUAGGUUGACCUCGGAUYAGGUAGGGAUACCCGCUGAACUUAA